UACGUAGAGGGCAAGCGUUGUCCGGAUUUAUUGGGCGUAAAGAGCUCGUAGGUGGUUCGGUAAGUCGGAUGUGAAAUCUCCAGGCUCAACCUGGAGGGGUCAUUCGAUACUGCCGUGACUAGAGGUCGGUAGGGGAGUGUGGAAUUCCUGGUGGAGCGGUGAAAUGCGCAGAUAUCAGGAGGAACACCCGUAGCGAAGGCGGCACUCUGGGCCGAUACUGACACUGAGGAGCGAAAGCGUGGGGAGCGAACAGG
rnacentral:rRNA from 1 species